CUGGUUGGAAGCUUGAGAAGGUCUUUGUGCCUUUUUGAGCUGAACUUGCACUCUUGGAAGCUGGUUUGGAAGCUGCUCUAACCAAGGCAAGAUCGCGAUCAAGCCUUGAAUCGUCUUCGACUGACUUGUGAGGACUCUUGGAGGUUACACUUGAGGUAUUACACGAGCCCAAAAUAGGGAUU